AUCGCUUCUCGGCCUAAUGGCUAAGAUCAAGUGUAGUAUCUGUUCUUAUCAGCUUAACAUCUGGUACAUCACCUAUACGGUGGUUCAUAUGUUAAACUAAUUUUUUCUAAUUUGGUGGAGAAUAGGUGCUUGCACCUGCUCCACCGCGGGUUGGCCUGGAGUUGCACUACUUCCAGGAUCGACCCUCAUAUA